rnacentral:rRNA from 1 species
AACGAACGCUGGCGGCAGGCUUAACACAUGCAAGUCGAACGCAUCCUUCGGGGUGAGUGGCAGACGGGUGAGUAACGCGUGGGAACGUGCCCUUCAGUUCGGGAUAACCCAGGGAAACUGGGGCUAAUACCGGAUACGUGCGAGAGCGGAAAGAUUUAUCGCUGAAGAAUCGGCCCGCGUCUGAUUAGCUAGUUGGUGGGGUAAUGGCACACCAAGGCGACGAUCAGUAGCUGGUCUGGGAGGAUGAUCAGCCACAUUGGGACUGAGACACGGCCCAAACUCCUACGGGAGGCAGCAGUGGGGAAUAUUGGACAAUGGGCGCAAGCCUGAUCCAGCCAUGCCGCGUGAGUGAUGAAGGCCUUAGGGUUGUAAAGCUCUUUCGUCCGGGACGAUAAUGACGGUACCGGAAGAAGAAGCCCCGGCUAACUUCGUGCCAGCCGCCGCCGUAA